rnacentral:rRNA from 1 species
ACGUAGGGUCCAAGCGUUAUCCGGAAUCACUGGGCGUAAAGCGUGCGUAGGUGGCGUGUUAAGUGUGAUGUUAAAUCGUGGGGCUCAACCCUGUCGGUGCAUCACAUACUGGCAUGCUAGAGGGAAGCAGAGGCAAGUGGAAUUGGUAGUGUAGCAGUGAAAUGCGUAGAUAUUACCAGGAACACCAAUGGCGAAGGCAGCUUGCUGGGCUUCUUCUGACACUGAGGUACGAAAGCGUGGGGAGCGAACAGGAUUAGAUACCCUGGUAGUCCACGCCGUAAACGAUGCAUACUAGUCUUAUGGGGUAUCGACCCCCUGUGAGACGCAGCUAACGCGAUAAGUAUGCCGCCUGGGAAGUACGGCCGCAAGGCUA